UUUCCUACGGGGGGCAGCAGUGAGGAAUAUUGGUCAAUGGCCGCAGGGCUGAACCAGCCAAGUCGCGUGAGGGAUGACGGUCCUAUGGAUUGUAAACCUCUUUUGUCAGGGAGCAAAGGGCGCCACGUGUGGCGUUUUGCGAGUACCUGAAGAAAAAGCAUCGGCUAACUCCGUGCCAGCAGCCGCGGUAAUACGGAGGAUGCGAGCGUUAUCCGGAUUUAUUGGGUUUAAAGGGUGCGCAGGCGGAAGAUCAAGUCAGCGGUAAAAUUGAGCGGCUCAACCUCUUCGAGCCGUUGAAACUGGUU
rnacentral:rRNA from 1 species